rnacentral:rRNA from 1 species
AGUGUUGCAGUUAAAAGCUCGUAGUUGAACCUUGGGUCUGGCUGGCCGGUCCGCCUCACCGCGAGUACUGGUCCGGCUGGACCUUUCCUUCUGGGGAAUCCCAUGGCCUUCACUGGCUGUGGGGGGAACCAGGACUUUUACUGUGAAAAAAUUAGAGUGUUCAAAGCAGGCCUUUGCUCGAAUACAUUAGCAUGGAAUAAUAGAAUAGGACGUGCGGUUCUAUUUUGUUGGUUUCUAGGACCGCCGUAAUGAUUAAUAGGGAUAGUCGGGGGCGUCAGUAUUCAGCUGUCAGAGGUGAAAUUCUUGGAUUUGCUGAAGACUAACUACUGCGAAAGCUUUCGCCAAGGAUGUUUUCA